AUUGAACGCUGGCGGCAGGCCUAACACAUGCAAGUCGAGCGGAUGAAGGGAGCUUGCUCCUGGAUUCAGCGGCGGACGGGUGAGUAAUGCCUAGGAAUCUGCCUGGUAGUGGGGGAUAACGUCCGGAAACGGGCGCUAAUACCGCAUACGACCUGAGGGAGAAAGUGGGGGAUCUUCGGACCUCACGCUAUCAGAUGAGCCUAGGUCGGAUUAGCUAGUUGGUGGGGUAAAGGCCUACCAAGGCGACGAUCCGUAACUGGUCUGAGAGGAUGAUCAGUCACAAUGGAACUGAGACACGGUCCAGACUCCUACGGGAGGCAGCAGUGGGGAAUAUUGGACAAUGGGCGAAAGCCUGAUCCAGCCAUGCCGCGUGUGUGAAGAAGGUCUUCGGAUUGUAAAGCACUUUAAGUUGGGAGGAAGGGCAGUAAGUUAAUACCUUGCUGUUUUGACGUUACCAACAGAAUAAGCACCGGCUAACUUCGUG
rnacentral:rRNA from 1 species